rnacentral:lncRNA from 1 species
GCUGGUUCUUCCAGGAGCGCGCAUGAGCGGACGCUGCCUACUGGUGGCCGGGCGGGAUGUAACCGGCUGCUGAGCUGGCAGUUCUGUGUCGCUAGGCUUCUGCCCGGCCGCCGCCGCACAUAAGCCACGAGGAGGAGCUUUACGACUUCCCGGUCUUCGGCGCCGGGCGCAGCAAGGGCCAGACUCUGCGCUAGCAGGCGCUGCGCGCCAACCGGCCGGCACCUGUCGCAGAAGGUGCAACCGAUCGCACUGUCGCGCAGAAGCUCCUCAAUGGCCAGCGCCAGCUGCAGCCCCGGCCGCCCACUCGCCUCAUCUGAGCCUGGGCAAAUCUGGAUUGGGAAAGUUGACAUUAAUCAACUCAUUAUUCCUCACAGAUUUGUAUUCUCCAGAGUAUCCAGGUCCUUCUCAGAGAAUUAAAAAGCCUGUACAGGUCUAGAUAUUGGUAUUUUUAAUUGAUGAUAAGCUGGAAUAAUAUUAAUACACACAAAGCACGUGUUGUAACUUUCAUUAUGCUUCCUUAGAGCUCUGUUCACGGAAAGGGCCUGGGAGCUGCAACACCUCAACAGCAACAAGCACACCUGCUACCUAGAACUUGGUUUCUAAAAACCAUCCUCCUCUAAAAGGAAACAGAGCUCUUUGAAGAAACGGUGAGACAGUCAACAAACCUCUAACCACCGACCUUUUCUCCUCUGCCCUCCACUCACACUCUGCUCCAUCACCCUCAGCCACACAGCUGACGCUGUAGAGAUUCACUGACAUCCAGUCUGAUGGACACUGUUUCUCCAGCCGAAACUGCUCAUGAGAACAUGUGCAGUGAAGUGCUCCAGAGGCCCCAGCAUGCUACAUUACAGAAGACUGAACUCAGGAGAGAUGAGGAAUAAUCCCCUCCAUCACACCAGACACCAGGAGGGUGUGCCAAGAGGUAACUUUGCUGAACUUGUGAAGAAUGGUGUGCAAGGUCCAGAGCGACUGCAGGAGAGGGAAGGUGGGAUUCCCACAGAGCAGGAGCACAGAUAAGCCAAGCAAGGCCCUGCUUGGAAGGCAGCAAUCAACAGAGAUGCACAGACCUGUGAGGGUGCCGGGACAGCCAUGCAACAAUGCAGCCCUUUUGCUUCCUGAGCUCACCAGUUCCCUCGCUCCACCUCUGAGAGGUGGUUUGGAGAAACACAGCCCUUCUCAAGAGGGCUGCAAGCUACUUAAGUCCUGAAAAUUUCCACAAGGCUGAGUCAAAUCUGCGUUUCAUCAUCUAUAAGAAAGGUACCUAUCGAGAACACCCUGCUGGCCAGUGUGUAAAUAUCUAAAGGAGGACUCAGAAAACACCGGGGAAGUCCAGCCUGCACGUGGUGGCUGGGCUUCAGUGAAGCAUGCAGCACAACAGGAGUUAGCAGCCAUGCACUGCCCAGGCUGGAAGUAUGCUCAACCACAAGGGUCAGGGCUGGGAGAGGCGCUUCGGUAGCAAGAAGGUGCCUCUGAAAACCAGCAUUGGGAUGGAGAGGGCUGAAGGCAAGUGCUGGAUGUGACCACGGGCAGCUUUCAGGCUGGGAGCAC